UCGUCUCUAAGUAUACUAUUUAUAUGGGUC
rnacentral:piRNA from 1 species